UACCUCAUGGAUUUAGUCUCUGCUUUCUGCUGCUGUUAGUUUGUCGUCAUACUUUUGUCAUGAAGUCUGUCCCUGUACCAGCUGUUCCUGUGCUCCAGGUCUCUUCCCUGUGAUUGGACAGUCAUCAGCUUACAUAUCGCCCUGCAACCACCUCUCUCCCUCCUCCCCUCCCCCUCUGUCUGUUUUCAGAUUAUUGCACCCCCUGCUGGUCUUGUGUCUGUACUGCAUCUCUGCAGGUGUGGUGGUGUCAAUCUGCUGCAGCAGGAAGACAAAUGGUCUUACCUGAGAUUCCAAACUAACUAUUCUGGGGUUCGUGGAGAUGCCAGCACUCAAUAAAUUUCUGAAAGAGAAAUGACUCUUACAUAUUUGAGCCCUUCAUAGUUGAAUAAAGUGCAAAUAUUAUA